AGAAUGAACGCUGGCGGCAUGCCUAACACAUGCAAGUCGAACGAAACCUUCGGGUUUAGUGGCGCACGGGUGCGUAACGCGUGGGAAUCUGCCCCUUGGUUCGGAAUAACAGCGAGAAAUUGCUGCUAAUACCGGAUGAUGACGUAAGUCCAAAGAUUUAUCGCCGAGGGAUGAGCCCGCGUAGGAUUAGCUAGUUGGUGUGGUAAAGGCGCACCAAGGCGACGAUCCUUAGCUGGUCUGAGAGGAUGAUCAGCCACACUGGGACUGAGACACGGCCCAGACUCCUACGGGAGGCAGCAGUGGGGAAUAUUGGACAAUGGGCGAAAGCCUGAUCCAGCAAUGCCGCGUGAGUGAUGAAGGCCUUAGGGUUGUAAAGCUCUUUUACCCGGGAUGAUAAUGACAGUACCGGAGAAUAAGCUCCGGCUAACUCCGCGCCAGCAGCCGC
rnacentral:rRNA from 1 species